UACGUAGGGUGCGAGCGUUACUCGGAAUUACUGGGCGUAAAGCGUGCGCAGGCGGUUUUGUAAGCCAGAUGUGAAAUCCCCGGGCUUAACCUGGGAAUGGCAUUUGGGACUGCAAGGCUCGAGUGCGGCAGAGGAGACUGGAAUUCCUGGUGUAGCAGUGAAAUGCGUAGAUAUCAGGAAGAACACCCGUGGCGAAGGCGGCUCUCUGGGACGGUACUGACGCUGAGGCGCGAAAGCGUGGGGAGCAAACAGG
rnacentral:rRNA from 1 species